rnacentral:rRNA from 1 species
ACACCGCGUGAAGGAUGAAGCCUUUGUUGGUGUAAACUUCUUUUCUCUUGGAAGAUAAUGACGGUACAAGAGGAAUAAGGGGCGGCAAACUUCGUGCCAGCAGCCGCGGUAAUACGAGGGCCCCAAGCGUUAUCCGGAAUUACUGGGCGUAAAGCGUCUGUAGGUGGUUUUUUAAGUUUCGUAUGAAACUCCAGGGCUCAACCCUGGAUUGUGCGAAAAACUGGGGAACUUGAGUGUGGGAGAGGCAAGCAGAACGGUAUGAGUAGGGGUGCAAUCCGUUGAUACAUACCAGAAUACCAAAAGCGAAGGCAGCUUGCUGGAACACUACUGACACUGAGAGACGAACGCGUGGGGAGCGAAAGGGAUUAGAUACCCCUGUAGUCCACGCCCUAAACGAUGGAUGCUAGGUGUUGGACGUAAGUUCAGUGCUCAAGCUAACGCAUUAAGCAUCCCGCCUGAGGAGUACGGCCGCAAGGUUAAAACUCAAAUGAAUAGACGGGGACCCGCACAAGCAGUGGAUCAUGUGGUUUAAUUCGACAAUAAACGAGGAACCUCACCUAGGCUUGACAUUGAUAGAAUCCACCAGAAAUGGAGGAGUGCCCGCAAGGGAGCUUGAAAACAGGCGCUGCAUGGUUGUCGUCAGCUCGUGCCUUGAGGUGUUCGGUUAAGUCCGUUAACGAGCGCAACCCACGUCGUUAGUUACU